rnacentral:rRNA from 1 species
AGCUUCAGUAGCGUAUAUUAAAGUUGUUGCAGUUAAAAAGCUCGUAGUCGCAUUUCUGGUGGCGAGAGGAUCCGGUCCGACCUUUUGGUGGGUUCUUGGGUCUCUUUCGCCAUCCUUGAGUGGUCCGUUCUGGCAUUAGGUUGUCGGAGCGUCAGCCGCUCAUCGUUUACUGUGAGAAAAUUAGAGUGUUCAAAGCAGGCUUAUGCCGUUGAAUAUAUUAGCAUGGAAUAAUAAGAUAGGACCUCGGUACUAUUUUGUUGGUUUGCGCACCAAGGUAAUGAUGAACAGGGACAGUUGGGGGUAUUUGUAUUUCGUUGUCAGAGGUGAAAUUCUUAGAUUUACGAAAGACAAACUACUGCGAAAGCAUUUACCAAGGAUGUUUUCA